GUAAAGAACAAGUGGCGCGUUCCAGUGACUAUCUCGAUGGGCAACUGACCUUUCGCGAACGUCUGAUGGUGCGUCACCACCUGAUGUUCUGCCCCAACUGUCGGCGAUUUAUCCGUCAGAUGCGCCUGAUGCAGGCGACUUUGAAGAUUAUGCCGGAAGAGCCGGUAAAGGACGCUGAUGCAUUGGCAGAUCGGCUGGUAGCCGAACGGCUGAAAGAUCAGUAAAGGCGGGAAAGGCAGACUCGCGUGGGUGAGCCGGACGGAU
rnacentral:sRNA from 1 species